rnacentral:rRNA from 1 species
UACGGAGGGAGCUAGCGUUGUUCGGAAUUACUGGGCGUAAAGCGCACGUAGGCGGCUUUGUAAGUUAGAGGUGAAAGCCCGGGGCUCAACUCCGGAACUGCCUUUAAGACUGCAUCGCUUGAAUCCAGGAGAGGUGGAGUGGAAUUCCGGAGUGUAGAGGUGAAAAUUCGUAGAUAUUCGGAAGAACACCAGUGGCGAAGGCGGCUCACCUGGGACUGGUAUUGACGCUGAG